AGCUAAUAGAUACCCGGGUAGUCCACGCCCUAAACGAUGUCUACUAGUUGUUGGUGGAGUAAAAUCCAUGAGUAAACGCAGCUAAACGCGUGAAGUAGACCGCCUGGGGAGUACGGUCGCAAGAUUAAAAACUCAAAGGAAUUGACGGGGGCCCGCACAAGCGGUGGAUUAUGUGGAUUAAAUUCGAUGCAACGCGAAAAACCUUACCUGGCCUUGACAUGCCACUAACGAAGCAGAGAUGCAUUAGGUGCCCGUAAGGGAAAGUGGACACAGGUGCUGCAUGGCUGUCGUCAGCUCGUGUCGUGAGAUGUUGGGUUAAGUCCCGCAACGAGCGCAACCCUUGCCAUUAAUUGCCAUCAUUUAGUUGGGCACUUUAAUGGGACUGCCGGUGACAAACCGGAGGAAGGUGGGGAUGACGUCAAGUCCUCAUGGCCCUUAUGGCCAGGGCUUCACACGUAAUACAAUGGUCGGUACAGAGAGUUGCCAACCCGCAGGGGAGCUAAUCUCAGAAAGCCGAUCGUAGUCCGGAUUGUUCU
rnacentral:rRNA from 1 species